GUCCUAUAGAUAUUAAUUUUAGGUCUAAUCUGCUCAAUGAUUAAAUUUAAAUAGCCGCAGUAUCUUGACUGUGCAAAGGUAGCAUAAUCAUUUGUCUUUUAAUUGGAGGCUUGUAUGAAUGAUUGGACGAAAUAUAGCCUUUCUUUGUUUAAUUUUUAUAAAUUUAAUUUUUUAGUAAAAAAGCUAAAAUUUUUUUGUAAGACGAGAAGACCCUAUAGAAUUUUAUUUUAAUAUUAUUUUUCUUAUUUAUUUUUAAUUUAGAUUUAUUUUAUUAAAAUUUGGUUGGGGUGACUAUGAAAUUAAAUUAACUUUCAUUUAUUUAAUUCAUUAAUUAAUGUUUUAUUGAUCCUAUAUUAUAGAUUAUAAGAUUAAAUUACCUUAGGGAUAACAGCGUAAUUUCUUUGGAGAGUUCUUAUUGAUGAAGGAGUUUGCGACCUCGAUGUUGGAUUAAAGUAAGAUUUUGGUGUAGAUGCUAAAUUUCUAGGUCUGUUCGACCUUUAAAUCUUUACA
rnacentral:rRNA from 1 species